CUCCUCAAGCUUGAUAUUUCUAGAGCUUUUGAUAGUGUAUCUUGGGAGUACAUGAUGGAGCUUCUUCAGCAGCUAGGCUUCUCCUCUUGUUGGAUAGACCGGGUGGCACUCCUCCUGUCAACUUCCUCCUCGGCCUGCCUGCUAAAUGGC
rnacentral:rRNA from 1 species